rnacentral:rRNA from 1 species
GACGAACGCUGGCGGCGUGCUUAACACAUGCCAGUCGAACGGUGAACGAGGGAGCUUGCUCCCUCCGGAUCAGUGGCGAACGGGUGAGUAACACGUGAGCAAUCUGCUCCGAACUCUGGGAUAAGCGUUGGAAACGACGUCUAAUACCGGAUACGACGCGGGAGGGCAUCCUCUCCGCGUGGAAAGAACCUCGGGUCGGGAUGAGCUCGCGGCCCAUCAGCUUGUUGGUGCGGUAACGGCUCACCCAGGCGACGACGGGUAGCCGGCCUGAGAGCGUGGCCAGCCACACUGGGACUGCGGGACGGCCCAGACUCCAACGUGAGGCAACAGUGGGGAACAUUGCACAAUGGGCGCGAGCCUGAUGCAGCGACGCCGCGGGAGGGACGACGGCCUGCGGGUUGUAAACCUCUUUUAGCAGGGAAGAAGCGAAAGUGACGGUACCUGCAGAAAAAGCACCGGCUAACUACGUG